ensembl:lncRNA
AUCCCUAUACAUAUAUAUCACACAAGACUGAAAUGGAACAAAACUAUUUGACAUAGAAACACCAGCUUUUAGAUGUUUAAAAAAGGUAUAAUCUUUAUUAAUAAUGAAAUAGAUUAAUAACAUUCCACCCAUGAGACCAAAGAAAGAGUUACAGCUAUCUGCCUGUGAGCUGCUCAAGGCCAGGCACUAAGGUAAAGGUCCCAGUGUGAACCUGAACCAGGCCUGGACCAGCCAGGGCAAUAAAUCUAUCUGUCCUUGCUAUGAGAUACAGCAGACAGACUGCAGUCCUAGACAGUAAGGCACGUCUGAAACCCAUAUUGGCCCGAUACUGACUGGCAAACACACUCCGUCUUCUCUCUAUCUCUCUGCGUUGUUGGCUAGGACUAGGGAGCUAGAGUCCUGUCUAUCAUCUGCUGAAGAGUUUCAUAUGAUUCUUAAAUCCAAACAGAGCAAAAUGAAAGACGAAGUACAGACAGUUGACAUUUAUAAAAUAAUACUUUUUUAUUGCUUAUUUGAAUAAAUACUAUUUCAAAGUGAUCAAAUAACAUGGUAGCUACAUCGUAAUACUAGAUUGUCAGGAGACUUUACCUGAAACGCUGCAGUCACCUCUGUAGCUGAUCAAAACCUAGAUGACCUCGUUCCAAUGCUAGAUUAUCACGUGGUGCCAACAGCACCCUCUGCAGUUGUCUGGUGUAGUGUUGCUGCCCUUCAGGGAAGGCAGUAAGUUGUAUAGUUAUCUCCUGAUGGGGCAAAAUCACUACCCUGAAACCACACAACCUACUACCUCACCCCGUGCGAACAUCAGAGAGGCAGAUCCCUUUCAUGGCAAAAUAAUAAAUACAUCAUACAAACAAAAGUAUUGAAAUGAACAAAGAGCCAUACCAAAACAGAACCGAAUGAUGCAUAGAUGCCAUAUGAAUGACAUUACAAGCAUGUUAUCAUCUUGAAUUGGUUCAUAGUACAUAUUCCCAUCGAGGUCCGGGUGGCGGGCGCGCUGCAGAGAUGAUGGAUGAUAUUACAGCCACUUCAGGAAAGACAGUAAGUUGUAUAGUUAUCUGACAGGAAGGGUAUGACCCUAAAACUAUACAACCUACUACCUCACCCCAAAGGACCAUCACAGACCCGGCGGCCUACACUGGUACUCCAGUACCUUAGUCCCAGUCAACCAGGUCAGGACAACUUGUUUUCAUUUUUUUUAAAAGGAGAUGAGAGUUUGGAUCCACUAUUGUAAUUUCUCGAUUUAUUUUUGGACAGGACAGAUGUUAAGUCCAAAUCAAAUGUAUUUAUAAAGCCCUUCGUACAUCAGCUGAUAUCUCAAAGUACUGCACAGAAACCCAGCCUAAAACCCCAAACAGCAAGCAAUGCAGGUGUAGAAGCACGGUGUCUAGGAAAAACUCCCUAGAAAGGCCAAAACCUAGGAAGAAAGGAAGAGAGGAACCAGGCUAUGAGGGGUGGCCAGUCCUCUUCUGGCUGUGCCAAGAUGUUCAAAUGUUCAUAAAUGACCAGCAUGGUCAAAUAAUAAUAAUCACAGGCAGAACAGUUGAAACUGGAGCAGCAGCACGGCCAGGCGGACUGGGGACAGCAAGGAGUCAUCAUGCCAGGUAGUCCUGAGGCAUGGUCCUAGGGCUCAGGUCCUCCGAGAGAGAGAAAGAAAGAGAGAAAGAGAGAAUUAGAGAGAGCAUACUUAAAUUCACACAGGACACCGGAUAAGACAGGAGAAGUACUCCAGAUAUAACAAACUGACACAUAAACUACUGCAGCAUAAAUACUGGAGGCGGAGACAGGAGGAGUCAGGAGACACUGUGGAGAGACAGACAGAGAUGGUUACUGAAAGUAGUUCAGGGCAAAGGCAGUCGGUCACCAAGGGGGCAUGUGUGGUCCUGUACCAGAGAAGACAGCUUCAACACACCUCAGAAGACCCAGAACAAUCGUUAGGAUUGAAGCAUAAACACACAAUCACAGAGAGAGAGAGAGAGAGAGGGGGGAGAGAGAGAGAGUAGGAGAGACAGAGAGAGAGACAGAGAGACAGAGAGUAGGAGAGAGAGAGAGAGAGAGAGGGGGGGUAGAGAGAGAGCGAGAGAGAGAGGGGGGUGGACACUGGCCUAUCGCCCCCUCCCUCCCUCCUCCUCUCUCCAUCAGGCUCUAAGCAGCUUGUCAGGUAGCAGCAUCUGAAAGGACCUAAUAGGAAAAAUGUAUUACUUGUAGAAAGGGGAAAACUUAGACUUGAUAUUUGGCUUCUUGCAACCAAAUGUAAGAACAAGGUAAUUUUAAAUGAGUUGUUCCCUCAAUCAAGUGCCCGGUGAAAUGAAAAUAAAAUUAUUUUAAAUUUUUUUUUAACCUUUAUUUACCUAGGCAAGUCAGUUAAGAACAAAUUCUUAUUUUCAAUGACAGCCCAGGAACAGUGGGUUAACUGCCUUGUUCAGGGGCAGAACAACAGAUUUGUACCUUGUCAGCUCAGGGGUUUGAACUUGCAACCUUCCAGUUACUAGUCCAACGCUCUAACCACUAGGCUACCCUGCCACCCCAAAUUGGUGUGUUGAUGCAGAAGUAUACACCCAAGUACGCACAUACAUUCUCUCAUUCACUUCACAGGGCCUGCUGUCAAGUCAUUCAAUCACAUUGGAUAGUGCUCCUCUGCUACUAUAUCCCCUAGGAGCAGGAGAGGACAGUACAGAGAGUCUUGAGAGGCCCAUUGUGUCGGCUCAGUAUUAAGGAGGAUUCUGUUACCUGCAUUAUUAAACAUAGCUUUGCUUACUGUUCUGGUAAGUGGAUCACUGGAGGCUUGGCUUCUAGGUACAAACACACACAUGGACACACAUGGACACAAAGACACAUGGACACACACACUUUAAUACAUGUUUACUGGAAAGGAGCGGUUUGGGUUCACGAGGUGAAAACACUUGACCUUAGCUUGCUGAUUGGACAUUAUCUCCCAAUAUGGCAGACGGCUGUAGAGUUAUGAUCCAUAGUUGACACUAUGCUGGUAAAGGAAUUCCUUUGAACAUGGACCAGCUGACAACAUCCAGUGAGAUGCAAACACACACAUACCCACACACAUGCCCGCACCAGGGUUCAGAUUUUCAUACCAUCAUACCGUUUCUGUACCAUUACUGGUACAGAAUAUAUAUACCAUAUAUACAUAUAUACCAUAUAUAUAAGGUAUUACCUAAUGUGCAAACAAGGGGCGCUAUUUUGUUUUUAAAAAACUGCACAAAACUAUUAAGGCAACAGGGAUCUUGAUCCAGGAGAGGAUUGAAUGUGUCUGCUGUAACCAAGAAGCUUGAUCCGGACAUCUAACCACUUAGCAAGUUAGCAAACCAAAUGCAUAGCUAGAGGCCUGAGCUGGAUAUCAUUUAUUUGAUACAUCUUAGAUUUCUUAUAGUUAUAUAGUUAUACUUAACCAAAGCAGUGGCUGUCUACAGACAGAGGCACACAGACCUUCCUGCCCUCCAUACUGUACACAGUACCUCCCUACACGCCUGCACACAUGCACACACACACACACACACACACACACACACACACACACACACACACACACACACACCCUCUCCUCAAACGUACACCCCUCUCUGCAUUCCCCCUGUCAGAGCUUCUGUAGACCGGUGUGUGUGUGUGUGUGUAGCCCAGAGAGGUAGCCAGGUGCAGACAGGAGGAAUCCAGACAGACACGUCAGAGCGUUUAAAAAGGGAAGCAUGGCUUCUUAGCCCCCUGGGUUAACGGAGGGAGCAGGCAUGGACAUCUAUUCAUACCAGGUUUAGAGAGGGAGACGCAUAGCGCAGGGAGCAGGUUGGCAGACCAGGUCCAGUUACACAUGGGGGGUUCUGGUCAAAGUCAGACAAGCUGACCUCCCUAUAACCUCUGGUACUGAUAUGGGCCUCGAGAGGCGUCCUGGUGUGUAUGCUGUGCAUGUUGACUGUCUAUGGAGUGAUAUUCAGCUGUGCAUGUUGACUGUCUGUGGAGUGAUAUUCAGCUAUGGAGUGAUAUUCAGCUGUGCAUGUUGACUGUCUGUGGAGUGAUAUUCAGCUAUGGAGUGAUAUUCAGCUGUGCAUGUUGACUGUCUGUGGAGUGAUA